UACGUAGGGUGCGAGCGUUGUCCGGAAUUAUUGGGCGUAAAGAGCUUGUAGGCGGUUUGUCGCGUCUGCCGUGAAAAUCCGGGGCUCAACCCCGGACUUGCGGUGGGUACGGGCAGACUAGAGUGUGGUAGGGGAGACUGGAAUUCCUGGUGUAGCGGUGAAAUGCGCAGAUAUCAGGAGGAACACCGAUGGCGAAGGCAGGUCUCUGGGCCACUACUGACGCUAAGAAGCGAAAGCGUGGGGAGCGAACAGG
rnacentral:rRNA from 1 species